rnacentral:SRP_RNA from 1 species
UGCCAGGCGCAACGCAAUGGAUGCUCGUGAACCAUGUCAGGUCAGGAAUGAAGCAGCAUUAAGCGAAGUAUUCCAUGUGCAGUUGUUUGCCUGGCAUUU